rnacentral:rRNA from 1 species
GACGAACGCUGGCGGCGUGCUUAACACAUGCAAGUCGAACGGAAAGGCCCUGCUUGCAGGGUGCUCGAGUGGCGAACGGGUGAGUAACACGUGGGUGAUCUGCCCCUUACUUUGGGAUAAGCCUGGGAAACUGGGUCUAAUACUGGAUAGGACCAUGCUGUAGGUGGUGUGGUGGAAAGAUUAGUCUCGGUAAGGGAUGAGCUCGCGGCCUAUCAGCUUGUUGGUGGGGUAAUGGCCUACCAAGGCGUCGACGGGUAGCCGGCCUGAGAGGGUGGACGGCCACAUUGGGACUGAGAUACGGCCCAGACUCCUACGGGAGGCAGCAGUGGGGAAUAUUGCACAAUGGGCGCAAGCCUGAUGCAGCGACGCCGCGUGGGGGAUGACGGCCUUCGGGUUGUAAACUCCUUUCAGCCAUGACGAAGCCCUUGUGGUGACGGUAGUGGUAGAAGAAGCACCGGCUAACUACGUG